GUGUCAGCAGCCGCGGUAAGACGAGGGAUCCUAGCGUUGUUCGGAAUCAUUGGGCGUAAAGAGGGCGUAGGUGGCUUGGUAAGUCAGGUGUGAAAGCCCAGGGCUCAACCCUGGAAGUGCAUUUGAUACUGCUGAGCUUGAGUGUUGGAGAGGUUAUCGGAAUACCUGGUGUAGUGGUGAAAUACGUAGAUAUCAGGUGGAACACCGGAGGCGAAGGCGGGUAACUGGCCAAACACUGACACUGAGGCCCGAAAGCGUGGGGAUCAAACAGGAUUAGAUACCCUGGUAGUCC
rnacentral:rRNA from 1 species